rnacentral:rRNA from 1 species
AACGAACGCUGGCGGCGUGCCUAAACACAUGCAAGUCGUGCGAGAAAGUUCCUUCGGGAGCGAGUAAAGCGGCGCACGGGUGAGUAACACGUAGGUAACCUGCCCCCCAGUCUGGAACAACUAGAGGAAACUCUAGCUAAUGCCGGAUGAGACCACGAUCCCUUCGGGGGUUGCGGCCAAAAGAUGGCCUCUACUUGUAAGCUAUCGCUGAGGGAUGGGCCUGCGGGCCAUUAGCUUGUGGUGAGGUAACGGCUCACCAAGGCUGUGAUGGCUAGCUGGUCUGAGAGGAUGACCAGCCACACUGGGACUGAGACACGGCCCAGACUCCUACGGA